CCACAGAUAAAAUGUAUUUGUGAGAGUAUUUUGACAUCUUUGUUUAUUGAACUUGGUAGACAUUUACAUUAGUAUUUUCAUUUUGAAUAAGUCCCCUCAGUCUGCACCACAACUUAAAAUAUAUUCUAAAUAUAAAGCACUUUGGUACUCUAUGCGGUCAUUGUAACUUAAUGCCACACCGAAUGCUGCAGUAUUUCAUAAAGUUAAUUCUUAAAUACCAGGAUGGCUCUGCGCCGUGAUCAUGGUUUCCAUGUUUGCUUUUGUUCCAUCCGGCUUUCGGUUACUCCCGUUUCCCCUCUUCAGUCUCUGUGAACGGUAACACUUGGUGCUGGAUAGCACCAUCCGCGAUACUCCAAAGGAGUGGGCAGACAUGCACUCCUGCGCCCUCCUAAUGUCCCUGCGAAGAAGCGCACUGGCCCGAAACCGCCAGCACAGAGCCACAUUAGCGGCAGGAAAGACACUGAGUGCGUCAGUGUGUGCGACAAUAGGAUGGCUUCACACAAAGACUUGGCUGCAUGCCAAAUCAGGGUCUGAUGGAGCAAGCCCCCAGGGCAGACCAUGCCCACUGCACUCUCUGAGCAGCUAAAGUUCUGUCGCUGCAGGUCCAUCUUAGAAGGUGGCAUGAAUACUAGAGUGCAGCUUCCUCUGCCUGCCCCUAACAAGACAGUGUGAGUCAGGGGUCAGGUCCCCCAGGAAGAGGAAACUGCAAUGAACGGGCACUUUCUCUAUCAUGUGUGUGGCGUGUGCCACUCUGCAGCCACCCCUGUGUCACUGCUCCUGUGUAACGGGAUUGAUGUUCUAUUUUCCCAGUGAUCCUGUCUACUGAGAGGGCUGGGAAGCCACAUGCCUCCUACAACAACCAGAAGCCAACAAGCAAGCCUCCUCUCUCCACAAGAAAAGGAAAACGAAGUCUCCAGUAGGUCAGGUAACUACCAGUGCCACGCGGCUGAUGACAGCAGAACUGGCUUCCAGGAUUGGCUGCUGCUUCUGAAGUCCACAUAACCUGCCAAUUUGUCCAGAAGGUGUUGAAUUCUAAAAAGGAGCCACAGACAGGUCUGCUGAGGGGCACGGACGGGACUGAAGUGUCCCCUCCUGGAGUACCCCCGGGCGCCAGCCUUAGCAAUGCUGGCUGGGCUUUCAGACUCCAUCUGCGGAGCCACACCCCGGAGGGCAACGGAGUAGAGAGGCAGGAAAACCUCUGGGAUCCCCCGACAGCGGCAGCAAUGGAGCCCGCAUCAGAGGCUGCCCUGCCUCUCUGCCCUAAUUCAUGUUGGCCUCUUCAGUGCACUUGAAACUUACAAGGCAGAAUGAAAUGAGCCUGGCUCCUGAUCUGUGUUGGAACAAACCCCCAAGGGCAUCCUGAGCCGGCGGGAGUCUGGGCCUGGGCACACGGGCUGAGCACAGGGCUUCAUCUCACACGCGGGGACACAGCCAUGAAAAGAUUCAUCCUGAGGAAACAGCCUCCACCAAGCAGGCUUUCUCAGCAGCUAUUUCAUAAUUAUAAUAAAAGCCACUUGCAUUGCACAACUCACAAUAACAUAGAUAAAAAAAGGUAACACAGAGCAGCAGUCUUUGGCAGAGGAAGUGCCCUCUGAUACCUCUAUUGGUUAAGAGUAGUCUUGGAGGACUAAUAAGAAAAAAGAUUUAAAAAAAAUGAAGAAACCACCAAACAAAAGUUAAGCAGGGUUCCACAGUUACGGAGCCACUGUGCUAGAGUGUUCCACGAAGCCAAUGGGGAUGGCCGGGGAGAUACUCCAGAGACCUGCCCACCGCCCAGCCCUAGCAGGCCCGGGUCUGCAUGUUCACACUGCGCCCUGGGCAGGAGCCCACGCCCCUCCUGCCUGGGACUCCACAGGCUCUGCGGGGAGAUGGUGGAGGCGAUUGAGUUACACACGGACAUGUACUCUGAGCUUGUGGGAAGGAAACGCCUUGGGAAUUCCAAAUAUAAUUAGUAGAAUAUCAUUUAAGGAAAAGACAUUAUAAGGUUUAAUUGUUUCCUGCCCUCCUUAGUCCCCUCUUCUGAUUAUGGUGACUUUACAUUUUCCUUAGUGAAAUGAAAGGAACGUGGGGUAUGGAGGAAGGACCUUUGGGCUCAUGGUCCAGCAGGAAAACUCAGUAGCCGUGUGGCCUGUGCAGGAGCCGUAACCCCUGGGACCUCAGCAGGCUGUGCCGCCUAAGAGUGUCGGGACUCACCAGGGUGUCCUGAGGACUGGAAGCAGUGACUCUGGUGGAUGGUCUCCGUGGAGUCUAACACCCCACACAAAUCCCACUGUCACCUCCUUUUCUCUCCCUCCCCACCUCCUCCAGGGCCCGGGUGGCUGCUAUUGUUUAGUAUCUUUUCCAGGUGUGGUUAUGACAUCACCUUCGCACUGUCCUCUUGGAAUCACUGAAGAGGUUCCUGGGAUGGGAGAGCUGAAAGGAGCCUUAGGAAUUUUCUAGAACCAUCAUCCCACACCACCACCCACUUCAGAAGAGAACCGAGGUUCCAAGUCACAGGAUAAGUUGGCGGCAGACCCAGGUCUCCUGACUGGCUACAGCGCCCUCCAGCCCCAGCCUUCCCCGUCUCCUCCCACCUCGCCGUAGCCCCACCUUGGCCUGCCCCGCCAGGAAGCAGAAUUCCCCCUUUCAAGGGUGCCCUGAAGCCCCCAUGGCAAGCCUUUAAGAAGGAUUACCCACUUUAUUCAAUAAAGAGGAGAACACAGA